UACAGAGGGUGCAAGCGUUGUUCGGAAUUAUUGGGCGUAAAGGGCGCGUAGGCGGCUCAUGAAGGCUGUGGUGAAAGUCCGGGGCUCAACCUCGGAUCGGCCGUGGCGACUCGUGGGCUGGAGCACUGUAGAGGCGGGUGGAAUUCCAGGUGUAGCGGUGGAAUGCGUAGAGAUCCGGAAGAACACCAGUGGCGAAGGCGGCCCGCUGGGCAGUGGCUGACGCUGAGGCGCGACAGCGUGGGGAGCAAACAGG
rnacentral:rRNA from 1 species